UACGGAGGGGGCUAGCGUUGUUCGGAAUUACUGGGCGUAAAGGGCUCGUAGGCGGCCAACUAAGUCCGACGUGAAAUCCCCAGGCUUAACCUGGGAACUGCGUCGGAUACUGGAUGGCUUGAAUCCGGGAGAGGGAUGCGGAAUUCCAGGUGUAGCGGUGAAAUGCGUAGAUAUCUGGAGGAAUACCGGUGGCGAAGGCGGCAUCCUGGACCAUUACUGACGCUGAGGCGCGAAAGCUAGGGGAGCAAACAGG
rnacentral:rRNA from 1 species